rnacentral:rRNA from 1 species
GUGUCAGCAGCCGCGGUAAGACGAAGGUGGCGACCGUUGUUCGGAAUUACUGGGCAUAAAGCGCACGUAGGCGGCAAUGUAAGUCAGGUGUGAAAUCCCCCGGCCCAACCGGGGAAUUGCGCUUGAUACUGCGUUGCUUGAGGGCAGGAGGGGACCGUGGAAUUCCUGGUGGAGCGGUGAAAUGCGUUGAUAUCAGGAGGAACACCGGCGGCGAAGGCGACGGUCUGGCCUGCUUCUGACGCUGAGGUGCGAAAGCCAGGGGAGCAAACGGGAUUAGAUACCCCAGUAGUCC